rnacentral:rRNA from 1 species
GACGAACGCUGGCGGCAUGCCUAAUACAUGCAAGUCGUGCGGAUGCUUCAAGGAGCUUGCUCUUUGAAGUGUUAGCGGCGGAUGGGUGAGUAACACGUGGGCAACCUGCCCUACAGAUGGGGAUAACUCCGGGAAACCGGGGCUAAUACCGAAUAAACAGUUUGUCCGCAUGGACAAGCUCUGAAAGACGGUUUCGGCUGUCACUGUAGGAUGGGCCCGCGGCGCAUUAGCUAGUUGGUGGGAUAACGGCCUACCAAGGCAACGAUGCGUAGCCGACCUGAGAGGGUGAUCGGCCACACUGGGACUGAGACACGGCCCAGACUCCUACGGGAGGCAGCAGUAGGGAAUCUUCCACAAUGGACGAAAGUCUGAUGGAGCAAUGCCGCGUGAGUGAAGAAGGUUUUCGGAUCGUAAA